UAUGAGCUCAUUUCAAAGCUUGGUGUCUCCGUUGGUAUCAUUAUAAACUGGAAAUCCUGCUUGUUGGUCUAUGAGGUUUCCUGUUUCUGGAAACUGGAUGGACCAACGGCCUGGACGACAAUUUGGUGUGAUUAUGAGCUCAUUUCAAAGCUUGGUGUCUCCGUUGGCAUCAUUAUAAACUGGAAAUCCUGCUUGUUGGUCUAUGAGGUUUCCUGUUUCUGGAAACUGGAUGGACCAACGGCCUGGACGACAAGUUGGUGUGAGCAAGCUUGCAUGGUGUCUCCGUUGGCAUCAUUAAACUGGAAAACCUGCUCGUUUGUCCAUAAGGUUUCCUGUUUCUGGAAACUGAGUGGACAAUUAAUGGCCUGAACGACAA